rnacentral:rRNA from 1 species
AGUUUGAAUCAUGGCUCAGGACGAACGCUGGCGGCGUGCUUAACACAUGCAAGUCGAACGAUGAAGCCCUUCGGGGUGGAUUAGUGGCGAACGGGUGAGUAACACGUGGGCAAUCUGCCCUUCACUCUGGGACAAGCCCUGGAAACGGGGUCUAAUACCGGAUAACACUCUGUCCUGCAUGGGACGGGGUUGAAAGCUCCGGCGGUGAAGGAUGAGCCCGCGGCCUAUCAGCUUGUUGGUGGGGUAAUGGCCUACCAAGGCGACGACGGGUAGCCGGCCUGAGAGGGCGACCGGCCACACUGGGACUGAGACACGGCCCAGACUCCUACGGGAGGCAGCAGUGGGGAAUAUUGCACAAUGGGCGAAAGCCUGAUGCAGCGACGCCGCGUGAGGGAUGACGGCCUUCGGGUUGUAAACCUCUUUCAGCAG